rnacentral:rRNA from 1 species
AUUGAACGCUGGCGGCAUGCUUUACACAUGCAAGUCGAACGAGUGGCGCACGGGUGAGUAAUACAUCGGAACGUGUCCUAUCUUGGGGGAUAACUCAUCGAAAGAUCAGCUAAUACCCCAUACGAUUGGAGCGGCCGCUGCCCGAGUAGCUCGUUGGUGGGGUGAAGGCGCACCAAGGCGACGAUCGGUCGCUGGUCUGAGAGGACGACCAGCCACACUGGGACUGAGGCACGGCCCAGACUCCUACGGGAGGAAGCAGUGGGGAAGUUUGGACAAUGGGGGCAAGCCUGAUACAGCCAUGCAGCGGGCACGAUGAAGGUCUGCGGAUUGUAAAGUGCUUUUGUCAGGGAGGGGGUACCUGGAGAAGAAGCACCGGCUAACUACGUGCCAGCAGCCGCGGUAAUAC